rnacentral:lncRNA from 1 species
ACCAAACCAUUCAAUAGUUAGGCUUUCCAUAUUACCAAACCAUUCAAUAGCUAGGCUAUCCAUAUUACCAAACCAUUCAAUAGUUAGGCUAUCCAUAUUUCCAAACCGUUCAAUUGCUAGGCUAUCCAUAUUAACACACCUUUCAAUCGUUAGACUAUCCCAUAUUACCAAACCAUUCAAUAGUUAGGCUUUCCAUAUUACCAAACCAUUCAAUAGCUAGGCUUUCCGUAUUACCAAACCAUUCAAUAGCUAGGCUAUCCAUAUUACCACACCUUUCAAUCGUUAGACUAUCCCAUAUUACCAAACCAUUCAAUAGUUAGGCUUUCCAUAUUACCAAACCAUUCAAUAGCUAGGCUUUCCGUAUUACCAAAACAUUCAAUAGCUAGGCUAUCCAUAUUACCAAACCAUUCAAUAGCUAGGCAAUCCAUAUUACCAAACCAUUCAAUAGUUAGGCUAUCCAUAUUACCAAACCAUUCAAUAGCUAGGCAAUCCAUAUUACCAAACCAUUCAAUAGCUAGGAUUUCCAUAUUACCAAACCGUUCAAUAGCUAGGCUAUCCAUAUUACCAAACCAUUCAAUAGCUAGGCUUUCCAUAUUACCAAACCAUUCAAUAGCUAGACUAUCCAUAUUACCAAACCAUUCAAUAGCUAGGCUUUCCAUAUUACCAAACCGUUCAAUAGCUAGGAUAUCCAUAUUACCAAACCAUUCAAUAGCUAGGCUUUCCAUAUUACCAAACCGUUCAAUAGCUAGGCUAUCCAUGUUACCAAACCAUUCAAUAGCUAGGCUUUCCAUAUUACCAAACCAUUCAAUAGCUAGGCUAUCCAUAUUACCAAACCAUUCAAUAGCUAGGCAAUCCAUAUUACCACACCUUUCAAUCGUUAGACUAUCCAUAUUACCAAACCAUUCAAUAGCUAGGCUAUCCAUAUUACCAAACCAUUUAAUAGUUAGGCUUUCCAUAUUACCAAACCAUUCAAUAGCUAGGCUUUCCAUAUUACCAAGCCAUUCAAUAGCUAGGCUAUCCAUAUAACCGGAGCUUUAUCUUAUUCUUUUUAUAUCCAUGGCGGAUUCAAGGAAGAAUUCAUGGAAGAUGCAAAAACUUUGGAGAUAACAAUAGAUGGCAAAGUCAAAGAUACUGGUUUCCCCUAUCCAUCUGUACCAGAGGGUUUCCUACAUGCUUUUGACAAAUCCAGCUCCUGAACCAACCAUAGCCUAGCCAGCUGGCUAAUCUUUUUAACAUUGUAUAGCAACAACACAUAACAUUAGCUAGAUAAGGUUAGCAUGCUAGCUAGCUACCCUGACAGCUGUCAGUGUCAUACUUGUUGUUAUUUUCCACUACACAACGUUCCCAGGCCCCAAUUCAUGUAUUAGCAGCCUGUGUUAUUCUUCGGAGGUGGAACGAGAAGUUCUGCUAUAGGACAGGAAUUAUGUCGAAAUAGGGACCACAAUGCCCUCUGGUAGGGGGCUUUAGAGCAAAAUUCCUACAAUUCUACACAUUUUUGCCAUGACUUCUGCCAUGAAAAAUAUAAUUUCUGAAUGAGAAUGACAAACAAAAUCAAUGGGGGCUGAUUGGAGGUCAGGUCCCCUUGGGCACGUGGCCUGCAUGCCUGGUCAGUAUUUGGCCAUGAUUUCGACAAGUUCAGAUAGCUGACUAGACUAAUUACCAAUUAAAACAUGAACAUGGCUAAUUGUUAGCUAAUUGACUCACUGGCAUAACAUGAAAACCUGCUGAUGGACAAC